AUUCACCUAGUGUGCCCUAUAUUUCCUAAUAUCUCUACCCACCAGAAGUGCCACGGAAUACUAAUUUAAACCAAAGACGACACAUCACUAACUGAAAUGAAGUGGAAGGAUAUGCUCGUUGAAACAGAAAAAGCAUAGGCAACCUAAUGAUCAUUUUAGAAAUGCUGCAAUCACACAAUAAACUCAAACAAAGGCUUUACCUAUUAGGUAGUACAUUGUUUUAGCUAGUUCACUCAGCUGAACUAUAAGAUCCACCUUGAAUCCAUCAGAGCUAUUAAUUCACCCUUUUGGGCAUGAGACAUAGAUUUAUCCCCAUGAAAGCCUAGGGGAAAAAAGUUGUCACUUACAGAGUAUGCUACUUUUGAAAUUUCAAACAUCUCAAUGAUUUUCCCUAGCAUGGAGAUUCUCUUCUUUUUUUUUUUUUUUUUGUGUGUGUAGGAGUCAGUUAUACUAAUUAUAGACUUGUAUCUUCUGUGGAUUACACGUAUGAGGUCUUAGAGAAUCUCAAUAUUUAGAGAACCACUAGUGUGCCUUAAAGUGGACCUUGACGUAGCGAAAUGGAUAGAAAAUGACACAUAGUUGAUUGACUGAGUUGGCAUUCUGGAGAUAAUACCAAUUGUUACAUUCCUUAUAAAUUCACCUGCUGUUGCGAUCACCUGCUAGAAGUAUGCAUAAGUGUUUCCUAGCAUUUUUCUUGAACAAUAUAAUACCAUCUAACACAUGCGUCACCGGUGUAAUUUAAUCUGCUAAAAUUGGUUACUUAUCAUUUACUGUAUGUUACCAAUUAGUGCUUAUUACAUAAGAUUACCUGUCGUUACCUUUUAACUAACCUGAUUGUGUAAAAUACGUUUUACACAGUGAAUGCAUAAAACUUAAACUCAAAAGAAGAACAAAAAAACGCCUUAGAAAUGAUAAAUUUUGAAACACAUGAAGGCAAAAGUCAUCACAUUUAACAUUCUAGGUCAGUCUACAAUAAUCCUAAAUUCCAAAAUCCAUAGAUUCUGUUUAUAAUUGAACAACCUAUAUCAGAUGUAUAUGAAAUAUAAACUCAGAUAGAACAACAAAACUCAACUGUUUCAACUGUCAUCACCAAAGAGGCGUUGAAGGCGUGAAGCAAAAGCACCAGUGGGCUCCACAGCAGCUUCGGCAAGGAGGCUUUGCUUGAUAUUAUUCAUUCUUAAAACAAGGCCUUCUUGUUCUUCCUUUAGCGCAGCGUUAUCCUCCAUCAGAUCAUUUAUGCGGUACUUUUGCCCAAGCGAUCGUACGCUAAGAAGAAGGAUUCCUGUCAUGGCGAAGAAUUGUAUGAAGCUGUUUUUCCUCUUCAUUGCGUUUGCGAAUAAACCUAACGAUCUCUUAGGGCUCUGAUAGCCGCCGGCAGUGGCGGAGCUCGACGGUGGUGUAGGGAUAGCCAUCGUCGGGAAUGGAAUUC
rnacentral:lncRNA from 1 species